GCGCCCGUAGCUCAACGGAUAGAGCAUCGGCCUUCUAAGCCGAGGGUUCCGGGUUCGAGCCCCGGCGGGCGUA
rnacentral:tRNA from 1 species